rnacentral:rRNA from 1 species
CCUACGGGAGGCUGCAGUGGGGAAUAUUGGACAAUGGGCGAAAGCCUGAUCCAGCCAUGCCGCGUGUGUGAAGAAGGCCUUCGGGUUGUAAAGCACUUUCAGUGGGGAAGAAAGCCUUGGGGCUAAUACCCUCGAGGAAGGACAUCACCCACAGAAGAAGCACCGGCUAACUCCGUGCCAGCAGCCGCGGUAAUACGGAGGGUGCGAGCGUUAAUCGGAAUUACUGGGCGUAAAGCGCGCGUAGGCGGUCUGAUAAGCCGGUUGUGAAAGCCCCGGGCUCAACCUGGGAACGGCAUCCGGAACUGUCAGGCUAGAGUGCAGGAGAGGAAGGUAGAAUUCCCGGUGUAGCGGUGAAAUGCGUAGAGAUCGGGAGGAAUACCAGUGGCGAAGGCGGCCUUCUGGACUGACACUGACGCUGAGGUGCGAAAGCGUGGGUAGCAAACAGGAUUAGAUACCCUAGUAUC